CCUGAAGAUACCUUCCGGCGCAGUGUCCACACAGAUUGUCUGAUAGAAGUAACGAGCAAAGUCACACCAGAGUCCCCAUCGUCUAGAGGCCCAGGACACUGCCCUUUCACGGCUGUAACAGGGGUUCGAAUCCCCUUGGGGACGCCAUACCGGUAACGAAGUGAAAGACGUUAUCACCCGUAUCUCAAAACUGAUUCCGCGAAAGCGAGUCACGUUUGAGAUAUUUGCUCUUUAACAAUCCGGAACAAGCUGAAAAUUGAAACGACAUGUCGUGUUCAUUCUCCGUAAUCAGAAUGAAGCCACGAUAUGUUCGAGUCUCUCAAUGCCUGCAACCGACACACGUCUUUCGGGACGCUUGUGGGUUGUGA
rnacentral:misc_RNA from 1 species